GUGUUUGCUUCGGCAGCACAUAUACAAUAAUUGGAAUGAUACAGAAAAUAUUAGCAUGGCCCCUGCACAAGGAUGACAUGCAAAUUCAUGAAUCCUUCCAUAUUUUU
ensembl:snRNA U6 U6 spliceosomal RNA